GGUACCUUUCUUGGCUGAUCCCUUUCGCUGUAUGGCGUGCUCGUUUGGGUUGGGCAUCGGCUAAGAGUGCUCGGAGCUUGGAUUAACUCCAGUCGCCAAUCAGGUAAUCCCUAAGCUUAGAUGGUUUGGAGCUGCGAGGGACUCGGAGAUGGCCACACUACUGUUUCUGUUUCUUUUAAUUGCAAUAAGUAGCCGAUUUAUUUCUUUAUAAGUUUUAUCUUAUUAAUAUUAUUGUUUCGUUUUGAGUUGUAAUAA